UUCCAUCAUAAGAAAAUAUAUUUGUACUUAGUUAUAAACACAAGCACCUUAUCUUAUAAAAGUCAUGCUAUUUAUCCAUAUUAUAUUCUCAUCGACUAAUCAAAUGAAUCUUGUGUUGACAAUCCUUUAUAAGUAUAUAAACACAUUUCUUAAAAAAAAAAAAACACAAAACACAUCCAAUUCCAUCUCGAGCCUAAUUGUUCUUCCGUCUUCGUCAACGCUUAUGGUCAAGUUGAUGUUGUUGGGAUCAAAGUGGUAGCAAACAAUAAGAGCGAGCAGAAGAACUUACUUAUAGAAAGAAUGGGAUUAGAAGAAUGGGAUUAGAAUGGGAUUUUCAUUCCUUUCUAUUUUAGUCCUCUAUUUUUCACUCUACACCAUAACACCAACUUCUUCAUCAGCCUCCAUGCAAGAUCAAUUCAUAAACUGUGUCAAAAGAAAAACGCAUGUUUCUUUUCCACUAGAGAAAACGUUAUUUACUCCUGCGAAAAACGCUCUAUGUUCAGCCAAGUCCUUGAAUCAACGGCUCAAAAUCUCCGGUUCUUGGCAAAAUCCAUGCCUAAACCGGGAUUCAUAUUUAGGCCGAUUCACGAGUCUCAAGUCCAAGCUUCCAUCAUCUGUUCCAAGAAACUCGGUAUUCAUUUUCGUGUUAGAAGUGGCGGUCACGAUUUUGAGGCCUUGUCUUAUGUUUCACGGAUUGAAAAACCGUUUAUAUUACUCGAUAUGUCGAAAUUGAGACAAAUCACUGUUGAUAUUAAAGACAAUAGUGCUUGGGUUCAACCUGGUGCCACGCUUGGCGAGCUUUACUACAGGUAAUGUUGCUUACCAUAUAUCUAUGAAAUCUUUAUUUUGAAUU